GGACACAUGAGUAUGCAGUAAAAGUAUCAAAACAUGCACAGGAACUACCAUCAGAAGCCUAAAGAAGUGGCUUUUCGGGUGCAGUGGCUCACGUCUGUAAUCCUAGCACUUUGUGGGGCUCAGGCAAGUAGACUGCUUGAGCCCCGGAGUUCGAGACCAGCCUGGGCAACAUGGCGAAACCCUGCCUCAACAAAAACCACAAAAAUUAGCCAGGCACGGUGGCGUGUGCCUGUGCUCCCAGCUACCCAUGAGGCUGAGGUGGGAGGAUCACCUGAACCCAGGAGGUCAAGGCUGCAGUAAGCCAUGAUCACACCACUGCAUUCCAGCCUGCGUGACAGUGAGGCGCUGUCACAAAAAAGAAGAAGGAAGAAAGAAGAAGGAGGAGAAGGAGAAGGAGAAGCUUUUCUGGUUGGGGUCAGACAGAAGAAUAGUGGAGCAUGGCAAUGAGCAGUGAGGGGAGUUCCACCAGGGAUUCAAUUACUUCUAACAUGUUUUGCGAAAUACGGCAAACUUUAAGAUUUUAAAACUGGCAGCGAUCGCUUCUCAGCCUUUUGGCUAAGGUCAUAUGUAAAACUGGUGGUUUUUGGUGCCAAGACCCCUUCUGGUCCAAUUGUAACUAAGUAAAUAUAGAAGCCAAGAAAAAUUAAAUGGAAUUUUUGGAACUUGAUCCUGGAUGUGCUGCAAGCUGAGGACAGAAAUAUUUGGACUGUUGAAAGUGGGGUGUCGGCUUGUUUACUUUAGGGUCCUUCCCAUCCUACAGAACUCUGGCCAGUGUUAGAGUCAGACUGGCUUCGAGGCUCCUUGGAAAGAUCAAAGUUCAGCGUGAUCUGUCCAAAUACUUCUCCUUUUACAAUGUAUCAUAUGGAGAAAAUUAGGUGACAGCCCCCUUUUAAGACAGAACCGCUUCAAAAACUCCAUGUACCAGAAAAACUGGUUAGAAAAGUGGAAUUUGAAACCAUGUCAAAGAAACAGAUGCACAAGUACUGAUAAGUGCUCUCUAAGGACCUUUAACUCCAACAUUAGUUGGCUCUCUGAUUGCAAGGAAGCUCUACAAGAUGCCUACAGUUGCCUUUAAUGAUCUUGGAACUUACUCUAUAGUCUCCUCUUCAUGGGAAAAUGGAGUUUUAUGGAGAGAUCAACCUGGGAACUGUUAGAUCCUCUCUAUGCUUGGAAGAUCCUUGUAACCCAUCACAGAGAGCAAUUCAGAGAAGAAAAUUUGCACACUCUACUCCAAAGAGGACUACCCUGUGCCCUGGGUCAUUAUAAUCACCCCCAAAAUGAGAAUAAUAAAAGCAUGUUGUUAUUGAGAACUCAUAAUGGGUCAGAUAUGGAGCCCAGCAUUUUAUACAUAUUAACCCGUUUAAUUUCCACAACAGUCCUAUGAAAUUGGAACUAAUAUCAAUCUCAUUUUACAGGUUAGGAAACUAAGGCUCAAAGAGGUUAAGGGACUUGUCCAAAAUCAUGUUGCUGCUAAUAGCAGAAGCCGACUUCAACGUCAGUGCUUUUAACCACUAUGCUGUUAAAAAUGGAGACCAAUAUGAAGACCCUGUUGAGAUCUGAAGACCCAUCAGAGUAAAAGUAGUGAACUGCAUUGUCUAGCACACAGUAGCUACUCAAUAAAAACAGGAAUCUAGAGGGAUGCCUCAGAGAGAAUUCAGAAUAGGCUGGCCACACACUGAGUUAUUAAGGAGCAGUGGCUUUUAGGGACAGAGGAGGAACAUACUGAAUAGCUCUCCAAAGCAAUGAUGAAACCAGGUCAAUGACUACUGGCAGAGUGAGAGAAAGAUAAACAAGCAGGUCCCAAUAGACAGGCUGAGGGGCGCAUGUCACAAGGGGAACUGCCAGAAAUCCAUACCACGUUCCAAGAGUCUGUCUGCAUUGCUUAAUGGUUCUAGGACUAUGUGAAUGGAUCUCAUAUACUGCUGAAUUCCUGGUAUAAAGCUUUAAAAGGGUCAGUUCUGGGUCAAGUGAGCUGAGAGAAAGCUCUGCCUCCAACUUCUGAGGUCAGUUCUCCUUCAUAUUUGUGCCUGUUCCUCAUGGAAGGGAAGAAGGAAAGAGAUACCCGCUGACAUUUCAAUAUUUUCCCCUAGAACAUUUGACUAAGUCUUCCCCAGAUUCCUCUUCCCUAUGGACCUGUAGCCUUUGUAUUCUAGCCCAGUAUCUCCAGAAUCCUAACCUUUCCUUCCACUCCUUUGUCCACAUGGCUUGUUUCUUUUGAAAAACCUUCACAUCUCCCUAAACAAGAAUGGUUGCCCGCCAGCAACAAGGAAGCGUUGCUGUCCCUCAAAAAGGGUCUGGAAAGGCUGGUCUAUGGGACAGAAAGAAAAUCUGUCCUGUGAUGAAGACAUGUGAGGGCAGACACCAACCAAGAGCCAAGGGCAGGCACACUGCCUCCCAUGAGGAGGGAGGGGAGGGAGGAAAAAGGAAAGGAAGGGAGGGAGGGAGGGAGGGAGAAAGGGCAGGAAAGGAAGGAGGAAGGGAGGAAAGACACAGGGAGAGAGGAAAGGAGGGAGGGAGGUAGGGAAGGAAGGGACUUCCCUUCCCUGGGGAGGAUUACCUUGAUGGAUAGUUACAUCUGAUAUGAGGAUUUGGAGACCUCAGACCAUACUCAGGGCCUGCCAGUAGCCUUUGAAAAGUUUUUCUAUAGAAUGAGUCAAUAAUACAUUCUAUUAAUGACCUUGAUGGAUAUUUACAUCUGAUAUGAGGAUUUGGAGACCUCAGACCAUACUCAGGGCCUGCCAGUAGCCUUUGAAAAGUUUUUCUUAUAAAAUGAGUCAAUAAUACAUUCUAUUAAUGACCUUGAUGGACAUUCUGUGCUGUUUUGUUUUUUCAGCCCUAAGUCCCUUAAAAAUGUUCUGCUGAGUGGUCCUGAUAUCCAUCCCACUUUAUCUCUCUCCACUCCCAAGGGGGAUCCUCUACCCCAGUGAAGUCACCUUGUCUGAUCUUAUUACUGUCUUAUCUCACUGUCUUUUGUUAGAAUUAUGUAUCAGUCUGUCUCUCAAACUACAAUAUAAACCUAAAGACUAAUGUACUAGAUUUCCUAUUUGUCCCUCCAGGUCCACUUUCCACCUUCUCCAUCCUGCCCUUGGGAGGAUGAACUCUUCCGUUCCCCACCAACCCACCUUGGGUCCCUUGCACCUGUGGCUGCUGGUGGGUGUGACCAAUGGGAGGUGCAGAUGAAAGAUUGGAGGAUGAUAAGAGAGUCCAGGUAUUUAUUCCCUCCUGCCAGGCUGUGCUUUAAGCAGUGGUUGUGUUCUUCUACUAAAUGCCAUAGCUCCUAUCCGAUGUCCCCUCUCCAACAGCCACAGUGCAGAUCUGGUAGCCACUCCUUCCCUGUGCCCGUUCAGGCUGAGAGAUGUAAGGAUUUCCCCGUUGUUAAUCCCUGCAUACUGCACCAUCCCUUCCUGGUUCUCAGACUUAACCCACAGCUUUGUAAAGUGUCCACUCAUUAAAUCCCCUGUCAUGUAUUUAUUCAUUAUGGAUUAUUCACUUAGUGUGAAGCUGACACCGUGCUAGGCACACGCCAGUUUCAUGGUGGACAUGAGCCCUGUGUCACUUCUCCCUCCUUCCUGCUAGGGCCCUGGAACCCCAGCCCCAGCCCUAGAGAGGCGCCUCCUACCCAAUUCUUUUCCCUUUGCUAAUUCUACUGAAGGUGAUUGAUAUAUCUUUGGGUUUAGGCUUAGAAAUCUCUCUUACAAUGUAAAUAUGGCUUGUAGAAGAAGUACAUUCUUAUCUUGCUCAUUAUGGAAGUGAAUGAGCUUAUCAAACUUGUUGGAAAGAGCGGGUAAAUAUAGCAUAUUUUGAGAGCCUGCCAUUUACUUGCCAUUAUUGAAGUGUUACUGCUUCUGUGAAUCCCUCAAGACAGUGCAGUAGAUGUUGCUUUAGGUUCUGAAGAGGGAGGGGAAGCUUGGUCAUGGCAGUACUAAGGAGGGCGCUGAGGGUGAUGAGUGCAGGGCUGUGCAGACAGGAGAGUAAGUGGAGGGGAUUGUGCCCAAAGAUAGGGAAAGACCCUGAAAGGAAACUGGAUUCAUUCACAUAUUUGUGCAGGGCUGGUCUGGCCCACCCACUUCCUUCCUCCUCCUCCUCCUCCCUGCCUGCCAUUACUUCUCUACAUGAACCACUACUUCCUCCUCUUCUUUUCCUGCUGUUUUUACUCAUAUAUGUACAGUUCAGGUUACACAGGAAGCCC
rnacentral:lncRNA from 1 species